rnacentral:rRNA from 1 species
UACGUAGGGUGCAAGCGUUAAUCGGAAUUACUGGGCGUAAAGCGUGCGCAGGCGGUUAUGUAAGACAGGUGUGAAAUCCCCGGGCUUAACCUGGGAACUGCAUUGGUGACUGGCGGGCUAGAGUAUGGCAGAGGGGGGUAGAAUUCCACGUGUAGCAGUGAAAUGCGUAGAGAUGUGGAGGAAUACCGAUGGCGAAGGCAGCCCCCUGGGCCAAUACUGACGCUCAUGCACGAAAGCGUGGGGAGCAAACAGG